UAACACAUGCAAGUCGAGGGGCAGCAUGGUUUUAGCUUGCUAAGGCCGAUGGCGACCGGCGCACGGGUGAGUAACACGUAUCCAACCUGCCGUCUACUCUUGGACAGCCUUCUGAAAGGAAGAUUAAUACAAGAUGGCAUCAUGAGUCCGCAUGUUCACAUGAUUAAAGGUAUUCCGGUAGACGAUGGGGAUGCGUUCCAUUAGAUAGUAGGCGGGGUAACGGCCCACCUAGUCUUCGAUGGAUAGGGGUUCUGAGAGGAAGGUCCCCCACAUUGGAACUGAGACACGGUCCAAACUCCUACGGGAGGCAGCAGUGAGGAAUAUUGGUCAAUGGGCGAGAGCCUGAACCAGCCAAGUAGCGUGAAGGAUGACUGCCCUAUGGGUUGUAAACUUCUUUUAUAAAGGAAUAAAGUCGGGUAUGGAUACCCGUUUGCAUGUACUUUAUGAAUAAGGAUCGGCUAACUCCGUGCCAGCAGCCGCGGUAAUACGGAGGAUCCGAGCGUUAUCCGGAUUUAUUGGGUUUAAAGGGAGCGUAGAUGGAUGUUUAAGUCAGUUGUGAAAGUUUGCGGCUCAACCGUAAAAUUGCAGUUGAUACUGGAUAUCUUGAGUGCAGUUGAGGCAGGCGGAAUUCGUGGUGUAGCGGUGAAAUGCUUAGAUAUCACGAAGAACUCCGAUUGCGAAGGCAGCCUGCUAAGCUGCAACUGACAUUGAGGCUCGAAAGUGUGGGUAUCAAACAGGAUUAGAUACCCUGGUAGUCCACACGGUAAACGAUGAAUACUCGCUGUUUGCGAUAUACAGCAAGCGGCCAAGCGAAAGCGUUAAGUAUUCCACCUGGGGAGUACGCCGGCAACGGUGAAACUCAAAGGAAUUGACGGGGGCCCGCACAAGCGGAGGGACAUGUGGUUUAAUUCGAUGAUACGCGAGGAACCUUACCCGGGCUUAAAUUGCAGAUGAAUUACGGUGAAAGCCGUAAGCCGCAAGGCAUCUGUGAAGGUGCUGCAUGGUUGUCGUCAGCUCGUGCCGUGAGGUGUCGGCUUAAGUGCCAUAACGAGCGCAACCCUUGUUGUCAGUUACUAACAGGUUCCGCUGAGGACUCUGACAAGACUGCCAUCGUAAGAUGUGAGGAAGGUGGGGAUGACGUCAAAUCAGCACGGCCCUUACGUCCGGGGCUACACACGUGUUACAAUGGGGGGUACAGAGGGCCGCUACCACGCGAGUGGAUGCCAAUCCCCAAAACCUCUCUCAGUUCGGACUGGAGUCUGCAACCCGACUCCACGAAGCUGGAUUCGCUAGUAAUCGCGCAUCAGCCACGGCGCGGUGAAUACGUUCCCGGGCCUUGUACACACCGCCCGUCAAGCCAUGGGAGCCGGGGGUACCUGAAGUGCGUAACCGCGAGGAGCGCCCUAGGGUAAAACUGGUGACUGGGGCUAAGUCAU
rnacentral:rRNA from 1 species